rnacentral:sRNA from 1 species
UUAUCUUAUCAGGUUAUAAUGCUAGAAUUGUAUUCUGUUUGUGGCUUGUGGAAGUUGACAAACAAUAUGACUUGGGAAUUUGAAUUAGACAUUGAAUUGGGAGCUUCUUUAGUGCUCAUUGAUGAGCACAUUACCUAUCACGCGUUGGUUGAUAUUCUUGUAGAGGAUUUUCAAAUAGAUAGUUCAACCAAUUCUUUGAAGCUUAGUUACAAGUUAGUCUCCACGUCUACAACCAUACAAUCUCAUCCUCUUUAUUUUAGGAACGAUAGACAGCUUGCAACUUUUAUGCACAAAUUCUCACAGAGUGGAGGAUUGCUUCAGUUAUGUUUGACUGUAGAGCAAAUUUCUGUGACAGUUGAGCAGGUUUUUCAAUAACCUUCUUGUGUAAUAAUUUUAAAAAUCCUUGUAAAAUCAUUAUUAAGUCAGUGAUUGUGCUUAUUACAGGCUGAGACUACUUCAAAUCCUUUUGUUUCUCAUUUUGUCCCUACUGCUCAGGUACUAAUCGUUUUAAAAAUCCUUGUAAAAUCAUUAUUAACGUUUUUAAACCCCUUUUAAAAAUCCUUGUAAAAUCAUUAUUAACGUUUUUAAACCCCUUUUAAAAAUCCUUGUAAAAUCAUUAUUAAGUCAGUGAUUGUGUUUAUUACAGGCUGAGACGACUUCAAAUCCUUUUGCUUCUCAUUCUGCAUUUACUACUCAGGUAAUAAUCCCUUUUAAAAAUCAUUAUUAACGUUUUUAAACCCCUUUUAAAAAUCCUUGUAAAAUCAUUAUUAAGUCAGUGAUUGUGUUUAUUACAGGCUGAGACGACUUCAAAUCCUUUUGCUUCUCAUUCUGCAUCUACUACUCAGGUAAUAAUCCCUUGUAAAAUCAUUAUUAACGUUUUUAAACCCCUUUUAAAAAUCCUUGUAAAAUCAUUAUUUAAGAUAGAUUGAUGUUUGAGGUAA